GCCGGCAUAGCUUAGUGGUAGAGCGUUGCACUUGUAAUGCAAAGGUCGCUUGUUCGAGUCAGGCUGUUGGCA